rnacentral:rRNA from 1 species
GAUGAACGCUAGCGGCAGGCCUAACACAUGCAAGUCGAGGGGCAGCACGUCUUCGGAUGGUGGUGACCGGCGCACGGGUGCGUAACGCGUAUGCAACCUACCUCUUACAGUGGGAUAGCCCAGAGAAAUUUGGAUUAAUACCGCAUAGUAUACAGAUUCAGCAUUGGGACUGUAUUAAACAUUUAUGGGUAAGAGAUGGGCAUGCGUUCUAUUAGUUAGUUGGAGUGGUAACGGCACCCCAAGACAGCGAUAGAUAGGGGCCCUGAGAGGGGGAUCCCCCGACACUGGUACUGAGACACGGACCAGACUCCUACGGGAGGCAGCAGUGAGGAAUAUUGGACAAUGGGCGAGAGCCUGAUCCAGCCAUGCCGCGUGCAGGAAGACGGCCCUAU